UCUCCGUAGGUGAACCUGCGGAGGGAUCAUUACAGAGUGUUUGCCCGCAAGGGUAGAUCUCCCACCCUAUGUUAUUCCUUCUCUGUUGCUUUGGCGGGCCGCCCGGCCUCGGUCAGGCCACCGGCUCCGGCUGGCGCGCGCCCGCCAGAGGCUCCGCAAACUCUGAAUGUCAGUGUCGUCUGAGUACUAUAUAAUAGUUAAAACUUUCAACAACGGAUCUCUUGGUUCUG
rnacentral:misc_RNA from 1 species